UCAUCGAGUCUUUGAACGCAAUUUGCGCCCGAGACCUCGGUCGAGGGCACGUUUGUCUGGGCGUCGCAUACAACAUACGCCCUCCCUGCAAGUUUAGCGGGGAGGAGCGGACAUGGUCGUCCGUGCCCAUCGUGGUGCGGUUGGCUGAAAUGCAUUUGAUGUCCCCUGCCUUGCAUCGGUCAGCGGUGGCCUUGCCCCCCUCGGGCUGCGGUCUAGCCGGCGUUUGUCGAUGCAGUGUGCGCACUGGGCAUCGAGGGAACUUUGUUUGGUCACCAUCCGUCGGGCGUCGAUGGAUGGCUUGGGCCCAUCUCUGCGACCCCAGCUCAAGCGAGAACACCCGCUGAGUUUAAGCAUA
rnacentral:rRNA from 1 species